GACGUGCGCGGUGCAAAACUGCGGAGUUUCUUCUAGCUGCAACCUCUCUUAUCCCACCCCGAACCUGUGGCUCUCGGCGUCGGUCCCCAUGUCAUCCCCGGCGUGCCGUCCCGGCCUCCCGGCGCCUCGCCGGCAGGCGCCGCUCCUCCCCCGCCUAGCCGCUCCCCCGUCCGGCUCGAAGCGGGCUGUUCAUCGGACAAGACCUGCUCACUCCACCUUCGAGUUCUCCUCUCCUGGCCGCCGCCGUCGUACUCGGGUCAUCUCUUCUUGCCACGGUGGUUUGGUAGAAAGAAGGAGACUACUAUUGAUUCCUGCAAUUAGUCUCACCAUUGGCUCCCUUCAGUACAGUCUGGAGAAGGGAGCAGCAAAAGCUGAAUUUACUGACAUGCCAGCGCUUCGUGGGAAGGACUAUGGAAAGACAAAAAUGAGUUAUCCAGAUUACACUGAAACAGAAUCAGGCCUCCAAUACAAGGACUUGCGAGUUGGAGAGGGCCCAUCCCCAAAGAAGGGAGAGACAGUAGUGAUUGAUUGGGAUGGGUACACAAUUGGAUACUACGGUCGCAUUUUUGAAGCUCGAAACAAGACCAAGGGUGGUUCUUUCGAGGGUGGUGAUAAAGAAUUCUUCAAGUUUAAGGUUGGAUCAGGACAGGUAAUACCAGCCUUUGAGGAGGCUAUGACAGGCAUGCGUCCCGGUGGAGUUAGAAGGAUAAUAGUACCACCGGAUAUUGGAUACCCAGAUAAUGACUUGAACAAGUUAGGCCCCAAACCAACAACAUUUUCGGGACAAAGAGCUCUAGAUUUUGUUCUAAGGAAUCAAGGAUUAAUAGACAAAACUCUCCUGUUUGACAUUGAGCUUAUUAGGAUAAUUCCGAGUCAAUAGCAUACAAGGGAAAUUUUGAUGACCAAGAAGCAUACAGUUUGAGCACGGAAUCAAAUCCUUGGAUGAUCAUGGGAUAUUGUGGGGGCAGUUUAGAGAACUUGGGCAGACCGAAGGCCUUGAUGAAAUAUCAUUAGUGAAUGGUGACCAUAUUAAAUACAUGAAGUGAGAAGAUUUGUAAUGUUGUAAAAUCCCUUGAUUUAGACCAUGUUCUGAAUGUGUAUCCUGCCAAUUUGUGCCGGAUUUGUAGUUCAUGUAAAAUCCUCGUGAAAUUCAUUCAAUUGCAACGAUGGAAGGGGGGAUUUAUGGGAUAUCAAAUUUCGUUUCUGUUCA